rnacentral:lncRNA from 1 species
GCCCUGCAUGCCUGACACAUAGUUUUGGUAUAAAACUCCCACAUGCAACAUCUGCAGCAUACGCUCAAAAAACAUCCCUAAACACUUGCAAAGUUCAUGUCUUCAACCAUGACUACUUUCGGUUUGUCAACAGUGGUUUUUUCAGUUCUUGUUCUAACAUUAUUGUCUGCAAAUAGCCACACAACGGUUGUCGGAGCCCGCAAUCUUCUAGAACCAACAUUACCUAAGCCAGAAGUGCCACAACUUCCCAAUGUUCCUGAGUUACCAAAGGUUCCAGAAUUACCCAAAAAUCCUGAGUUACCUAAGAUUCCAGAAAUUCCCAAAGUUCCCGAGUUACCUAAGGUUCCAGAAUUACCCAAAAUUCCUGAGUUACUUAAGGUUCCAGAAAUAUUCAAAGUUCCUGAGUUACCUAACAUACCAAAACCUGAAACACCUAAAGUUCUAGAAUUGCCUAAAUUAUCUGAGAUAGCUAAGAUUCCAGAAUUUCCUAAAGCAUUUCCAGCUACCCAUCCUUGAGCUUGAAUUAUGUGUUUUGCAGUCUUGUCCUCUGGUCUAUAUUGCAAUGCCUAGUUCAUUUUGUUUGAUGAAUGUUAGAUUAUUUGUUUGAGUUGUUGUAAUGGUUUACUUGUAGUUUUGAAUCGUACUGGAAGUUAUGUUCAGUUUUAAAGUUGUUUAAAUCCUUCAUGUGUCAGUGUUGUUAUAAAUUCAAUAAGAUUGUAUUAUCUGAAAUCCAGUAUAGUUAACGUUCUAAAUCUUGUGCUUUUAGUUUAUGCUGCGUUGUUUUCUUAUUUUGACAG